GCUCUGGUGGCCUAGUGGUUAGAGCAUCUGCCUUGGAUGCGGGAGGUCAUGGGUUCGAUCCCUGGUAAGACAUGCA